UGUUUUAAAGUAAAUGAAAAAGAGGCCAAGGAGAAUGGAAUCUACCUUACUAUCAGCUAAGAAUCAGAUGAUUGAAAAUAUGCUGCAAAGAUAAUCUUACUGGUUUAGUAAGAGUGGGAGUAUAGUUAUGAAUGAGCACUGAGUUACUCCUGCUUUUGCUGAAUAUUAUCUUGAGAGGCUUGACAAGUGUAUAAUAUUGUAUAUAAAAUUGCCUUAAUUCAGCCAUCUGCAAUGGAAAUCAUGAAUGCAAUGGAGAGAACCGUGUGGUCCAGCUAGAAGAAAUGCACUGGUUUAAAGGUGCUCCUAACACCAGCGGAUGUUUCCCUGUGGCUCCCAGCUAAACUUUUUCCACCUGUAUCCUUGUCAGAACAAAACACUAUGCACAUUAAAAGCCAAUGCCUCUGGCAUUAACAGCACAGAAAACAGCAGGUUGAGCCCCUGAAUGACUAUGACUGCCUUCAAGAUGCAGCUGCCAAUACACAGGAUUCUGUUGAUAGCUGUUGAGAUAAAUGAAUUGCAAUGAAAACCAGGACUGUGAAGAUACACCUGUGAUGCCAGCAGAAAGAAGAGAAUGAGCACAAAGAGUCUGCGGCAAGUACAGCUUGGCGUAAUGAGCAGGACAAGUGGCACUAGAGCCUUGACAUGCCUUGGAAGGGAACAGCUGUACUUCUUUUGGUUUCUGAUGUAGACACAACUCUGUGGCAUGAAGGUGUUGGGCCAUAAAUACAGUGUGUGUAGUAUUAACUAAAGAUUGUCAUAGAGCCUUGUAGUAUAAAGUCUGAAUAAAUUUUCUAGUACUGGGAUUUAU
rnacentral:lncRNA from 1 species